rnacentral:lncRNA from 1 species
AAAUGUACAUAAAUUUAUUGCACCAUCAUAAAUAAAGAUUAAUAGAUAACAGUUAACAUAAAGUAAACAUAAAAUAAUGAGCUCUGCCAUACAGCAGAACGUGAACAAAUACAUGUAAUGUGAACAUGAGUGUUACCAUAGAUACCAUGAAGUAAACAUAAAGAAAUACUGAUAUAGAUCGAGGUCUCUUUUAAUAGAUACCUCCAAUGGAGCUUUUGUUAGUUUGAGCCAUAUUUAUUAUGUGUAUCAGCAUAUAUAAUUUUAAAACAAAUAAGACGUAUAGGUUAUUCAGAAAACACAUAAUAAUCAGCAUCUGGUAAAGCUCAAUUUAGUAGGUUUUUUAUUUAUAAAGGAAACUCUGUACAUUCAAAAAUGUUAACAGUUUUAGUUUGUUACCUAGAUUUAUUUUCUCUAAAUCGAUUAACGACUUUUGAACAGCGGUAUAGUACUGUUGCCUUUAGUUACAAGGUUUUAUUGAUUCAAUAAAUGCAAUAAGGAGAAGAGUAUCAUAUAGAAUAGAACUUUUUAUGUAGCUGUUCCUGAAAUUGCAUUAUUUGAUUUGAAUUUACAUAAAAGUAAGUAGAUGUGAUAUUGUCAAUGAGACAACUAUAUCCAGAGACCAGAAGACUACUUAUUUAUGUGGUAUUGUCAAUGAGACAACUAUAUCCAGAGACCAGAAGACUACUUAGUUAUCACCAAUAAUAUCUCAAUUUAGAGUCACAGUCUAGUUUUGUCAACAAGACAACUAUAUCCAGAGCCCAGAAGACUACUUAUUUAUCACCAAUAAUAUCUCAAUUUAGAGUCACAGUCUAGUUUUUAAGUUUUUUUUUUUUGAAAAAAUAAUUUUUCUUUAAAAAAGUUGUUAUCUCUUAGUUCUCAUUUUUUUUUGUAAACAAAUCUACACAAAACUUGAAAAUAUGUUUUUAAGGAAUUCAUAAUUAUAGGGGUUGACCAUACAUAUUAUGCUUUGUAUAUCAUGAUAAUUAUUGAUAUAAUGGGUGAUCUAAUGGAUUGUAAUAUAUUAUAAAUGUAUACCUGUAAUACAUAAAGCAUUUUACUUAUAACAUUAUACAAUUAACUAUUAGUACAAGUGGUACUGUAGCACUAUAAAUUGUUAUAGUCAAUCAAGACUACUUUAGUCACAACCACAAACAAAUCACCUUCUUUUAUGACAAAAAUUGUUCAUGGCCUCCCUCUCUGAACUUUUAUUACUUCUUAAUCUCAAUUAGCAUGCUUUCUUUUUUGAAUUUAAUGCCAAAAUAAAACAACGCGGUUUGUUUAGAUUUGGUGUCUGGUCUGAUUUUUUAGGUAUAUUUAUUAGAACUGUUUUUUUACUUGAAAAACAACCUCAAAUAUAAAUACAAUAACUAUGCAAGUGAGUAAAUGGCAAUGGUGUAAAAGUUUUUAAUACUGGAUUGUUUCUAUGGUUUCAUAAGAGAGGCUGUUAAGAUUUUUAUCAAGUCAAAUGAUGGCUUUUAACAACAGGGGUCACUUAUUGUGCAUAAUAUUCUUGCAAGUGGUCCAUCUAUCUAAUUUACUCAAGGGGUUUCUUGAAAAUUUAGCAGCUCAAAAUGACUUUACUUCAAUAUGAGCUGCGUCGGAAAGAAAUCGACCUUAUGCAAGUGCACAUAUACAUGUAUAAGUAUACGAUUUUGAUUGGUUUUGAAACAUCUAAAUACGAUAUAAAAAAUGAAUUUUGGUCUGUUGAGUAGGGUUCUUAUAUCAAAUCAAUUUAAAAACAGUUAAAGGCUUUUGGAUUCGAGCGUCACUGAUGAGUCUUUUGUAGACGAAACGCAGAUCUGGCGUAUAUACAAAAUUUAGUCCUGGAAUCUAUGAUGAGUUUAUUUGCAUUCAGAUUUUUUCAACCCUAAGACAGAUGAAUCACUAAUGGCAGAUUAUUAUUUAGAUAAGGACGAUUUCUAUCCUAUGCAGCUCAUAUGUUUAAAGUUAUUCUUCUACUUCUACUUUGUAGACACUAAGGCAGUGUAGAACAUUAUCAAUUAAUCAACAGAGUGCAACUCUACAAUACUCUGAAGUGUACGAAUCUUGUGAGUGACAUUAUUAGUUAAAAACAUAAUUUAAUAAAUUUAAAUUUUUACAAUGUUAUUAUUUUAAUUUUGUUUUUAAAGUAAGAUAAAAUUAUUUACAAAUAACAAGUUAAAUAACUGUAGGUGUAAGUUCAUACAACUCUUUUGAACAGCUUGUCACAAAUGCUUGAAGUUUUCCUCAUUCAUCUGGAUUUUCAUAGCUAGUAGUUGCUAAAGUUCUUGUUGUAAAAAUCUGAAUAAAAUUACAAUUUGCUUGAAAUAAGUUAUUAGAUAAGUGGUUUUAGUUGUAACAAGUAAUUACAUAUAACUCAUUUUUUAAUAUUUACAAGUUUAUUUUUUAGCCUGUUAGUAUUCUACUUUUAGAUAGCUAUUUUUUCAAUAUGAUCUUGUUAGAAAUAAUUAAAUCUAAAAAAUUAAAUAUAAAUUUAUAUAUAUCUUAAUUAUUCAUUAAUCUUUGUACAGUUCAGCAAUUUACAUUUAAAUAUUUUAUUUCAAGAAGAUACAUUAAAAUCAGCAACUUUCUUUAAAAAUACCAACAAGAUUGAAAUUAAGAGAGAUUUUAAAUCUAAAACCAAAGUACUAAAAUAGAUGGGGGAAAAAAAGGAAAAAAAUGAAUUGUUCGUAUUGGCCCUCAAUUUAACAGAUUAUCAUUUUAUUUAUAAAAACAUCAACAAUUUUUACAUAAUUUAUACAAAAAUCCAUAACAUCAGCUAUGGUGGUUUUAUAUUCCACCCAAAUACUUUUAAUACCAACAAUUACAACACAUAGAAUAUAUUAUAUCAUUUUUACAAUGUGUAAGGUUAUAUUAAUAUAUAUACACUCACAAACAUAUGCAUUCUAAUUUAGAAUUAUAUGGUAUGUAAUAUUUUAAAUUCAUCAUUUUUGUAACCAUACAUAUAUCAUGUAUAUUAUAUAAGUAUAUAUAACACAAAAUAAUUCUCAUAAAAUUUGAAGAUUAGUUUACAAAUGUAUCGGGUUAUAAUCUAAAAGUAAAGUUCAAAAUACCUUGACAGAUUUUAUCACACUUAAUAAACAUUUGUCAUAUGAUUGUAGCAUGAAGUCGAAUGAUAGAGUAGGAUUAAGAUGAGAGGAAAAGUGUGUCUGCUCCCACAAAAGGUUUUUUGUUUCCCGAAAAAAAAGAGUAGUUUUCAAAAAGGCAAGUUUUCCAAGGUGCAGUUUUCUCUCCAACUGCACAAACUGAACACAAGUCUAUACAAUUAUUAUAUGAUCUUUUUGAUAAAUUAAGUGAUACAUGAUCAUACAGAGGUCCCUAUAGCACUUUAAAAUUGACCUUCUUUUUGUGUAAACAGAGAUCUGACAUAUUUAUUAAAUAUCAAUACAAAUGUAAAGAAAAAUUUCUUCUUUCAACCUUUCACAAAAUUCUCUUCGAGAACAACUAUCAGCAUAUAUUUUUGUACAUAUUUUACUAUUGCACAAUAUUGUAAAUACAUUGUAAUGUGAACACAAGCAGACCUACUUAAUAAUAUACACAGAUAUAGAAAAAC